CUGGAGAAUCAGGUCACAAAGAAUCAGACACAACUGAGUGACUUUUACUCACUUUGCCAGCUUGCUUGGCCUGGGCAACAUGGUGUGUCUAACUAGGUUUGGACUCAUCUCAUACGUGCCAUGUGGUCUUCCAGGAACUGCACCCUACGUCCCUGAAGGAGGGAGCCAACCCCGCCCUCAUCAACCCGCCCUGCCUCUGCCUCCGCACCUGCAGGGCAGACUGGCACAUGUUCACCAGCCCCUGAAUGAGGUACUAUUCGCAUAUAUAUCAUCACUUCAUUUAACUCCUUUGUCAAUAAGAUAUUGAGUGCCUACCAAGUUAAGCAGGAAGAAGAGAUGAAAUGAUACUGUCCUUGACUUCAGGAAUUCAAAAAAACGUGAAUAUUCUUGUUCAUUAACAAGAAUAAAAAUAAUAACAGUA